AGUGAACGUUGGCGGUAGGCCUAACACAUGCAAGUCGAACGGCAGCACAGUAAGAGCUUGCUCUUACGGGUGGCGAGUGGCGGACGGGUGAGGAAUACAUCGGAAUCUACUUUUUCGUGGGGGAUAACGUAGGGAAACUUACGCUAAUACCGCAUACGACCUACGGGUGAAAGCAGGGGAUCUUCGGACCUUGCGCGAUUGAAUGAGCCGAUGUCGGAUUAGCUAGUUGGCGGGGUAAAGGCCCACCAAGGCGACGAUCCGUAGCUGGUCUGAGAGGAUGAUCAGCCACACUGGAACUGAGACACGGUCCAGACUCCUACGGGAGGCAGCAGUGGGGAAUAUUGGACAAUGGGCGCAAGCCUGAUCCAGCCAUACCGCGUGGGUGAAGAAGGCCUUCGGGUUGUAAAGCCCUUUUGUUGGGAAAGAAAAGCAGCAGGUUAAUACCCCGCUGUUCUGACGGUACCCAAAGAAUAAGCACCGGCUAACUUCGU
rnacentral:rRNA from 1 species